rnacentral:rRNA from 1 species
CAGCAGCCACGGUAAUACGUAGGGCGCAAGCGUUGUCCGGAAUUAUUGGGCGUAAAGAGCUCGUAGGCGGUCUGUCGCGUCUGGUGUGAAAUCCCGAGGCUCAACCUCGGGCUUGCAUCGGGUACGGGCAGACUAGAGUGCGGUAGGGGAGACUGGAAUUCCUGGUGUAGCGGUGGAAUGCGCAGAUAUCAGGAGGAACACCGAUGGCGAAGGCAGGUCUCUGGGCCGCAACUGACGCUGAGGAGCGAAAGCAUGGGGAGCGAACAGGAUUAGAUACCCCUGUAGUCCCUGUCUCUUAUAC